UCCCUCUCGGGAUAGCUCCUUGAGAGUUCCCAGGACUCUAUCAGUUUCAACUAUGGGAGGGAGAGUCAAGCGGAGGCCUAGCCAUUCCAUUCCUAGCUUGAACAGUGGCUAGUGUGUGGAAAACAAUCUGCUACAAGU